GCGGCGCCGCGGGUGGCUCAGGGGCGGCCGGCCGGGACCGGCUGGUGGCGCGGUCCUUGCAGAGCGCUGAGCACUGUCUGGGCGCCCAGGACUUCGGCACUGCCUAUGCCCAUUACCUCCUGGUGCUCAGCCUGGCGCCGGAGCUCAAAGACGACGUGAAGGAAACUUUUCAGUAUA